rnacentral:rRNA from 1 species
GAUGAACGCUGGCGGCGUGCCUAAUACAUGCAAGUCGAGCGAACGGACGAGAAGCUUGCUUUUCUGAUGUUAGCGGCGGACGGGUGAGUAACACGUGGAUAACCUACCUAUAAGACUGGGAUAACUUCGGGAAACCGGAGCUAAUACCGGAUAAUAUUUUGAACCGCAUGGUUCAAAAGUGAAAGACGGUCUUGCUGUCACUUAUAGAUGGAUCCGCGCUGCAUUAGCUAGUUGGUAAGGUAACGGCUUACCAAGGCAACGAUGCAUAGCCGACCUGAGAGGGGGAUCGGCCACACUGGAACUGGGACACGGGCCAGACUCCUAAGGGAGGCAGCAGUAGGGAAUCUUUCCCAAUGGGGGAAAGCCUGACGGAGCAACCCCGCGUGAGUGAUGAAGGUCUUCGGAUCGUAAAACUCUGUUAUUAGGGAAGAAAAAAUGUGUAAGUAACUUGGCACGUCUUGACGGUACCUAAUCAGAAAGCCACGGCUAACUACGUG